ACGGUGACUGAAACCACACGCCAUGUUGGGAGACUUCCAAACGAGUCUAGAGAGUUGGCACUUAGGGAUGAAGAAAUCAUCUUCUGGGUACACUUGGUCUUUCCUGAUGAAGCUUUUAAGAGAAAGGCAGAGUUGACCCUGAGCUUUCAAAAAACUGUACUUUCAGGCAAAACCUCGGAGAGAAGAACUGGCUGCUAGGGAUCCUGUGCAGAGACCUUGAAGAACAUGGCAAUUAUGAAACUUCAACAAGAAAAGAUUUAAGCUGAUCUUUAAAAAAAAUAUACUGUCAGGAAUUUUGUAGAAAUGACUUUAAUAUAAUAACUGCUUCUUUGACUUAUGUUUUGUCUGGUGGUGAAAAGAAAAAUAUUUAUAAAAGCAUGCCUAUGUCCUAAAAUUGGGGACACAAACUUAAAUGACUGAAGGCACUUGAGGAAUAGAGGCAAGGAUGGUGAAACCAGGCCCUGUACCAAACAGGAGAGUGUGAACCUGCUAAAGAGAGCGACUGCUUCUCAUUUCCAGUCAAAUCAUCUGAAAUGGAGUUGCGACUCCAUUUCAGCCACAGCGAUUGAUCUGGAUUUUUUGUAAAAUUCCCCGAUUUUUACAUAUUGCCAAUUAAUUAAUUAAUUAAAAAGAAAUGUAAAUGUUCAA
rnacentral:lncRNA from 1 species